rnacentral:rRNA from 1 species
UAGGGAAUCUUCGGCAAUGGGGGCAACCCUGACCGAGCAACGCCGCGUGAGUGAAGAAGGUUUUCGGAUCGUAAAGCUCUGUUGUAAGAGAAGAACGUGUGUGAGAGUGGAAAGUUCACACAGUGACGGUAACUUACCAGAAAGGGACGGCUAACUACGUGCCAGCAGCCGCGGUAAUACGUAGGUCCCGAGCGUUGUCCGGAUUUAUUGGGCGUAAAGCGAGCGCAGGCGGUUUAAUAAGUCUGAAGUUAAAGGCAGUGCUUAACCAUUGUUCGCUUUGGAAACUGUUAAACUGGAGUGCAGAAGGGGAGAGUGGAAUUCCAUGUGUAGCGGUGAAAUGCGUAGAUAUAUGGAGGAACACCGGUGGCGAAAGCGGCUCUCUGGUCUGUAACUGACGCUGAGGCUCGAAAGCGUGGGGAGCAAACAGG